CUUCACGCGGCGAGGUGUGCCAGCGUCGCUGUAUUUUCUUGCGGCUCCUCUCCACCGACGGCCAGACCGUGGCCCUCGCAGCACCCUGCUCUGGGACGUCGCCUGCAGAUGAGCAGCAGUAGUAGUACGGCCGAUAUAUCAGCUUCUCCGGACAGGAGUCGACCACAUCUGCUGGGAGCUACCUUGGGAGGGACAGCAGUUUUCAGGUGGAGUGGCUCAGGUGGAGUGGAUUUGGAUUAUACAUUAUUGCUACCAGCGAUCUGAGGAUCGGAGAUUGAAGAAGAUGAAUCAUGUACUGGCAGCUUGGUUGCGUUGUAUGCAGAAACUUUA